rfam:Schistosoma haematobium scaffold821_26, whole genome shotgun sequence.
AUCCAUCUGACUAGUCCUAGAUAUAACGAAACGCGUGUCCUGGAU